rnacentral:rRNA from 1 species
GCAGUCGCACGAGAAAGCUUCAGCUUGCUGAAGCAAGUAAAGUGGCGCACGGGUGAGUAACGCGUGGGUAAUCUACCUCUGAAUUGGGGAUAACAUCGCGAAAGUGAUGCUAAUACCGAAUGAUAUCCAUAAAACUCAGGUUUUUUGGAUCAAAGGUGGCCUCUACAUGUAAGCUACUGUUUGGAGAGGAGCCCGCGUACCAUUAGCUUGUUGGUGGGGUAAUGGCCUACCAAGGCAACGAUGGUUAGCUGGUCUGAGAGGAUGAUCAGCCACACUGGAACUGACACACGGUCCAGACUCCUACGGGAGGCAGCAGUGAGGAAUUUUGCGCAAUGGGGGAAACCCUGACGCAGCAACGCCGCGUGAGUGAUGAAGGCCUUCGGGUCGUAAAGCUCUGUCAAGUGGGAAGAAACCGCGUGAUGCUAAUAUCAUCAUGCACUGACGGUACCACUGAANGAAGCACCGGCUAACUCCGUGCCAGCAGCCGCGGUAAUACGGGGGGUGCAAGCGUUAUUCGGAAUUACUGGGCGUAAAGAGCGCGUAGGCGGUCUUAUAAGUCAGGUGUGAAAGCCCGGGGCUUAACCCCGGAAGUGCACUUGAAACUAUAAGACUUGAGUAUGGGAGAGGGAAGUGGAAUUCCUGGUGUAGCGGUGAAAUGCGUANAUAUCAGGAGGAACACCGGUGGCGAAGGCGACUUCCCUGGACCCAAUACUGACGCUGA